GACGAACGCUGGCGGCGUGCUUAACACAUGCAAGUCGAACGGAAAGGCCCUGCUUUUGUGGGGUGCUCGAGUGGCGAACGGGUGAGUAACACGUGAGUAACCUGCCCUUGACUUUGGGAUAACUUCAGGAAACUGGGGCUAAUACCGGAUAGGAGCUCCUGCUGCAUGGUGGGGGUUGGAAAGUUUCGGCGGUUGGGGAUGGACUCGCGGCUUAUCAGCUUGUUGGUGGGGUAGUGGCUUACCAAGGCUUUGACGGGUAGCCGGCCUGAGAGGGUGACCGGCCACAUUGGGACUGAGAUACGGCCCAGACUCCUACGGGAGGCAGCAGUGGGGAAUAUUGCACAAUGGGCGGAAGCCUGAUGCAGCAACGCCGCGUGCGGGAUGACGGCCUUCGGGUUGUAAACCGCUUUCGCCUGUGACGAAGCGUGAGUGACGGUAAUGGGUAAAGAAGCACCGGCUAACUACGUGCCAGCAGCCGCGGUGAUACGUAGGGUGCGAGCGUUGUCCGGAUUUAUUGGGCGUAAAGGGCUCGUAGGUGGUUGAUCGCGUCGGAAGUGUAAUCUUGGGGCUUAACCCUGAGCGUGCUUUCGAUACGGGUUGACUUGAGGAAGGUAGGGGAGAAUGGAAUUCCUGGUGGAGCGGUGGAAUGCGCAGAUAUCAGGAGGAACACCAGUGGCGAAGGCGGUUCUCUGGGCCUUUCCUGACGCUGAGGAGCGAGAGCGUGGGGAGCGAACAGGCUUAGAUACCCUGGUAGUCCACGCUGUAAACGGUGGGUACUAGGUGUGGGGUCCAUUCCACGGGUUCCGUGCCGUAGCUAACGCUUUAAGUACCCCGCCUGGGGAGUACGGCCGCAAGGCUAAAACUCAAAGGAAUUGACGGGGCCCCGCACAAGCGGCGGAGCAUGCGGAUUAAUUCGAUGCAACGCGUAGAACCUUACCUGGGUUUGACAUGGAUCGGGAGUGCUCAGAGAUGGGUGUGCCUCUUUUGGGGUCGGUUCACAGGUGGUGCAUGGCUGUCGUCAGCUCGUGUCGUGAGAUGUUGGGUUAAGUCCCGCAACGAGCGCAACCCUUGUUCACUGUUGCCAGCACGUUAUGGUGGGGACUCAGUGGAGACCGCCGGGGUCAACUCGGAGGAAAGUGGGGAUGACGUCAAGUCAUCAUGCCCCUUAUGUCCAGGGCUUCACGCAUGCUACAAUGGCUGGUACAGAGAGUGGCGAGCCUGUGAGGGUGAGCGAAUCUCGGAAAGCCGGUCUCAGUUCGGAUUGGGGUCUGCAACUCGACCUCAUGAAGUCGGAGUCGCUAGUAAUCGCAGAUCAGCAACGCUGCGGUGAAUACGUUCCCGGG
rnacentral:rRNA from 1 species